rnacentral:rRNA from 1 species
UGAUUCAAGGGUAUGGGACGAGCGGCUUUAUGCCGCGAAGCAAUCGGAAGUGGUUCCAAGAAAAGCCUCUAAGCUUCAGUCUAACGAGACCGUACCGCAAACCGACACAGGUGGGCGAGAUGAGUAUUCUAAGGCGCUUGAGAGAACUCGGGAGAAGGAACUCGGCAAAUUGGUACCGUAACUUCGGGAUAAGGUACGCCCUUGUAGCUUGACUGGCCUGCGCCAGGAGGGUGAAGGGGUUGCAAUAAACUGGUGGCUGCGACUGUUUAAUAAAAACACAGCACUCUGCAAACACGAAAGUGGACGUAUAGGGUGUGACGCCUGCCCGGUGCUGGAAGAUUAAAUGAUGGGGUGCAAGCUCUUGAUUGAAGUCCCAGUAAACGGCGGCCGUAACUAUAACGGUCCUAAGGUAGCGAAAUUCCUUGUCGGGUAAGUUCCGACCUGCACGAAUGGCGUAACGAUGGCCACACUGUCUCCUCCCGAGACUCAGCGAAGUUGAAGUGUUUGUGAUGAUGCAAUCUACCCGCGGCUAGACGGAAAGACCCCAUGAACCUUUACUGUAGCUUUGCAUUGGACUUUGAACCAAUCUGUGUAGGAUAGGUGGGAGGCUUUGAAGUGGUGACGCUAGUUGCCAUGGAGCCGUCCUUGAAAUACCACCCUGGUUUGUUUGAGGUUCUAACCUUGGCCCGUUAUCCGGGUCGGGGACAGUGCAUGGUAGGCAGUUUGACUGGGGCGGUCUCCUCCCAAAGUGUAACGGAGGAGUUCGAAGGUACGCUAGGUACGGUCGGACAUCGUGCUAAUAGUGCAAUGGCAUAAGCGUGCUUAACUGCGAGACUGACAAGUCGAGCAGGUACGAAAGUAGGACAUAGUGAUCCGGUGGUUCUGUAUGGAAGGGCCAUCGCUCAACGGAUAAAAGGUACUCUGGGGAUAACAGGCUGAUUCCUCCCAAGAGUUCAUAUCGACGGGGGAGUUUGGCACCUCGAUGUCGGCUCAUCACAUCCUGGGGCUGUAGCCGGUCCCAAGGGUAUGGCUGUUCGCCAUUUAAAGUGGUACGUGAGCUGGGUUUAAAACGUCGUGAGACAGUUUGGUCCCUAUCUGCCGUGGGCGUUGGAAGUUUGAGGGGGGCUGCUCCUAGUACGAGAGGACCGGAGUGGACGAACCUCUGGUGUACCGGUUGUCACGCCAGUGGCAUUGCCGGGUAGCUAAGUUCGGAAGAGAUAACCGCUGAAAGCAUCUAAGCGGGAAACUUGCCUCAAGAUGAGACUUCCCGGAGACUUGAUCUCCCU